UGCUGUUCCUGUGAUAGUGAAUAAGUCUCAUGACUUAUUUGGUUUUAUAAAGGUCAAUUGGUUUUAUAAAGGGCAGUUGCCCUGUUCACACUCUUGUCUGCCACCAUGUAAGACAUGCCUUUGCUCCUCCUUCUGCCAUGAUUGUGAGGCCUCCCCAGCCAUGUGGAACUGUGAGUCCAUUAAACUUCUUUUUCUUUAUAAAUUACCCAAUCUUGAGUAUUUCUUCAUAGCAGUAAGAAAAUGGACUAAUACACCUACUAUGUACCAAGUACUAAAUCUUUGUCAUCCUAUAUAAGCAUCAGGACACCCUUUUUACAAAUGUUACAUAUCUUCUGUUGUUUUGUUUUGUUUCAUUUCGUACCUAUAAGAACACAGUGGUCAUGUGGUCAGUAAGUGACAGAGCCAGGUUCAAACCCACAUAUGUAUGACCCAAAACCUGUAUUCUUUUCACAUCCCUCAUGGCAGAGCAGUGGCAGAGCAAUAACUCUCAGGGAUAGAUAGAUGAGCAUAGAAACAAAAAUGGAAGUAGAAGGUUCGAAAGUAAUAAAGGUAACAACUACCAACGAUAGGCACGCGGGUAAUAGCUUUAGGGUGUGUUGUUUCAGGAACUAUGAGGAUAAUUUGGAGAAGAAAGAGUUGUUAUCAGAAACCAAACCAUCCAUGAGUGGAAAACAAAUCCUGAACUUUGCUAACCCUGAACAGAAUACAAAGGUACGGAGAAAUAAACAUAAACACACAAGAAAGGAGACAGAGCAUUUAUGGAAUUAAAACCAGAUUGGUAAAUAAAUAAAUAAAACCAGAUUGGUUUGCAAGAAGGAUGUAUGCUGUAUGCAGAGCUACUCUUAAUGGAAGCAAAUCAAUUCUCUUAUUACAACGUUGUUGGGAGGAAAAGAUGAAAUGUUCUCUGAGAACCCUUUGAAGGGGAAAGCUCUAUAAAAUGUACUGAUUCAUUAGUUUAUUGAAGAGCGCUCUGGAUUGAGAAUCAGGGAGAUGGAGAUCUAAGCCCUCCCGUCCGCUUGGCCUCAAACUUGAUGUGUGACCUCGGGUCACACACUUAAAUUUUGUAGUCCUCAAUUUCAUCAAUAGCACAAUUCAGAGUUUGAACAAAGUGGUCCCCUACAGCUGUAAAAUUUUGUCCCAGUUACUUAUAUUAUUAUCCCAGUUACUGCUGCCUGAAAGACACAUACAUCUAAGGAAUCCCUGUGCCCCUGGAUUCCAGGGUGAUUGAGAGCCAGUGCCGAGGUUUGUUCCCUCAGCAUUGUUCCAAGCAAGUUCUAAAUUUGCACAUUGUACAGAAUCAUGUAAUCCCAGUGCUUUUGAAGGCCAAGGCAGGAGGAUUACUUGAGCCCAGGAGUUCGAGACCAGUUUGGGCAACAUAGUGAAACCCUGUUUCCGCAAAAAAUAAAAAUAAAAAUUAGCUGAGUGUGGUGGUGCACACCUGUAGUCCCAGCUGCUCGGCAGGCUGAUGCAGAAGGACCCCUUGAACCCAGGAGUUUGAGGCUUCAGUGAGCUAUGAUCAUGUCACUGCACUCCGGCCUGGGUGACAAAGUGAGACCCUGUCUCUAAAACAAAUGGACAAAAAAAGAAUUCUACAACAAGGUGGACUGGGUAUCUGCUAUGGGUUGAAUUGUUUUCCCCCUGGGAAAAGAAAAUGUUGCUGUCCUACCCCCUAGCACCUGUGAAUGUGACAGUGUCUUAUUUGGAAAAAGAGUUGUUGCAGAUUUAAUCAAGUUAAGAUGAGGUUAUGGCCAGGUGUGGUGGCUCAUGCCUGUAAUCCCAGCACUUUGGNNNNNNNNNNGAUUACAGACGUGAGCCACGUCGCCCGGCCCAAUUCAUGUCUUUAUCACCUUUCCCCCUUUUAUUUUUUUUCCUUUUGGUGGAGAUGGUUUCCUCUUGCUGCUCCAGUCGAUCUCAAGGGAUCCGCCAGCUUGGGCCUCCCAAAAUGCCAAGGGAUCAGCCAACCAGCCUGGGCCUCUCACCACACCCAGCUCUCUCAUGUUUUUCAAUAGGCUCCUGGUUUCCCUGACUCUGGCCCUUCCUGUAAACCUAACAUAGUAAUCCAACAUUAAUUGUCCUUGUUUAAAAACGUUCCCUUGCUACCCAGUACAGAACAAAAUGAAACAAGUAAAAAAAACUGAAAAAAUUAAACUUGUGGCCAGAUGCAGCGGCUCAUGCCUGUAAUCCCAGCACUUUGGGAGGCCAAGGCGGACAAAUCACUUGAUGUCGGGAGUUCGAGACCAGCCUGACCAACAUGGAGAAACCCCGUCUCUACUAAAACUACAAAAAUUAGCCGGGCGUGGUGGUGUGCGCCUGUAAUCUUAGCUACUCAGGAGGCUGAGGCAGGAGAGUCGCUUGAACCCGGGAGGCAGAGGUUGCAGUGAGCAGAGAUUGCACCAUUACACUCUAGCCUGGGCAACAAGAGUAAAACUCAUCUAAAAAAUAAUAAUAAAAUAAAAUAAAUAAAAUAAAAAUCAAGUUUAAGAUGUUUUAAUCAACUUUCACAUCUACAACAUCAAUGACGUUCACUGUACACAGGCAAAUUCUAAAUAAUUAAGUAGUAUUGAAUAAUGAAAACAAUUGAGAGGGUCUCUCCUUGUAAGUGACAAUGCCAUCAGUCAGAUUUCCAUAAUAACUAACAUUUUACUGUGGGCUGUGUGCAAAUGAUUUGAACAUAACAUUUAUGUCUGAAAUAAAACUCUUCAAUUGCUUCUUCCACCAAGAAAAAAAAAAAGGCUGGGGAAAGAAAACAUCUAAUUUUAAUGCAACACUAAAUCCAAAGGCAGUACAGCUGUUUGGUUUUGGUUGUUUAGCUCAGCUGUUUUAUUCUGAGAAAAGCACAGCUGCCCUUUGAUGUUGUCUGUUAUUCAAGACUGUACUUUAGGAGGGUUAAAUGUAUGAGAGCUCACAGACCAUUGGUAGGUUUAGUUUCUCCUCUUGCUACAGUGCUAUUUAUUGGUCUUCCUUCUUCAAGUUUUAACAUAGCCUAUGUUAACAUAGGCUAUGUUAAAACUUGAAGGCAAACUCUUUCCCUUGAAUUUUGCCUUUCUCUUCAGAAUUCUGCUCCCAAGAGCAGCACUGUGGGUGGAAGGAUAAGUUAGUACUUUUUUUUUUAAGAACAAUUUUGAGAACCUAUUCAGAUUUAAAAUGACUUUUUUUAUUAUUUAUUUAUUUAUUUAUUUAUUUAUUUAUUUAUUUAUUUUAGAGACGGGGUUUCACUCUUGUUGCCCAGGCUAGAGUGCAAUGGUGAGAUCUCGGCUCACCGCAAACUCCGCCUCCCAGGUUCAAGCAAUUCUCCUGCCUCAGCGUCCUGAGUAGCUAAGAUUACAGGCGUGCGCCAACACAUCUGGCUUAUUUUUUUGUAUUUUUAGUAGAGAUGGAGUUUCACCAUGUUGGUCAGGUGGGUCUCAAACUCCUGACCUCAAGUGAUCCGCCCAUCUCCUCCCAAAGUGCUGGAUUGCAGGCAUGAGCGCCCAGCCAGGAAGCUAUCUUUUCUUGAGUUAUGAAACUUUGCAACAGUUGUUCAAAUUGGUGUUUGUCCUUCCUAUAGCUUUCAUAUUUGCAAAUUAAUUCUGUAUGGCUAUAUAAUUUAUGUUUUAAAGGCAAUUCUCUUGACUUUGGAAAUAUGGAAGUCUCUCCUUUAACCUAUUCUUGUUCCCAUUCCCAGUCUCAUUUGAAAUCAUUCCUUUUAUUGUUAGUGUGUGUAUUUUUGUUGGUGUGCUUUUAAUGCAUCCAAGUAUGCAUCAUUUUGGAUAAAAAAUACAUCCAAAUUAAGAUGUUUUAACACAUAGGACAAACUUGUGCACUUUUUAUGCCAAAAAAAAAAAUUGGGUUUUCCUUCAUGGGAUUUCUAGAAACACUGCCUACACUUUAUGAAAACUACAUAGUAUUCACCUGUGACAGGUAGAGUUUAUCACUAUUAAUUUUAUGAGGCUAUUUAUUACUUUCCAGUGCAUCCACUUAGAACAAGCUAAGAGUAAGGCUGCUAACUUUAAUUCCUUGCCUGAUUUUAUUGUACAAUGUGCACAAGCACAAUGGUAUGCUUGUAUAUAGAAACUAAAAAUACUAUGAAGUACAUAAGUUCCCUAUGGCUUAUGGAGAGUUAUUUAUUAAUUAACUUUAUGGUAGGGCUAGUAUGAAUACCUUUUUAACAAUUGUGUGCUAUUACAACAAUGAAGAUUCAAAUGACUCCGUUUUGAAGGAUGUUUUCUCUAUAUGGUAAAGUAUAUAUGAAGAAGUCUUGAUUACGUGAAGAUCACUUGACUCAGAAUACUUCAAUGUAUUUUGUUCACAUUACCACUAAGCAUAUUAUCAGUAAACUAUUAACUGACUGCACAUUAUGUAAUACGUUGUACUUUUUGUUGAAUUCACCGAAGUUCUUCCAUUUAUAUACUAUUUUUAAUGGCAUUCCGGCUUUAACAUUCUGUGAGUCUUAUAAAUUUGACUCUUGAAUGGCAAAAUAAUGUUAGUAUGUAGAAGGUUAACUUUCAUUUAUAAUAUAAGUGGUGCAGGGGUUCAACAUUUAAGUAAAAAUAUUCUUACACACUACCUCUCUCUCUUUUUUUUUAAAGUUUUAACAUCAGAACUUUUGGGGGAAAAACUACUUCAGGGCUUGACGUUUUGUACAAAUUUUAACUGUAAAAUACAGGUUUAUCUUGUACGCAUUCAUGGAAAUGGAAAUCAAAGCUGCUAGUGCUUUUUAUUUUAAUUAUCCUGUUAAGGGUAUCUAUCAAUGGUAUUUUCAAGUAGAUCUCUGUUUCUUGAAUUAUUGGUGAAAUAAUUGAUUACUAGAUAUAUUGUAAAACCAAUAGAUCCUGGUUAUACGAUAAAAUAUCAGCUCAUUGGUAGGCUGAAUCAAUUAUUUCAAGUGCACCUUAUUAACAAACGUAUCAGUGGAUCCAACAUAAAAUUUUAUAGUACUAAAUGUCAAGCCUAACUGUGAAUUUUGUUCUGUAUCUUAAGUAAAUUUAUGAUAAUGUUCUUGAGC
rnacentral:lncRNA from 1 species